AUUGAACGCUGGCGGAAUGCUUUACACAUGCAAGUCGAACGGCAGCACGGACUUCGGUCUGGUGGCGAAUGGCGAACGGGUGAGUAACAUAUCGGAACGUAUCCAAUAAUGGGGGAUAACUAAUCGAAAGGUUGGCUAAUACCGCAUACGCCCUACGGGGGAAAGCUAGGGACCUUCGGGCCUGGCGUUAAUGGAGCGGCCGAUAUCUGAUUAGCUAGUUGGUGGGGUAAAGGCCCACCAAGGCGACGAUCAGUAGCUGGUCUGAGAGGACGACCAGCCACACUGGAACUGAGACACGGUCCAGGCUCCUACGGGAGGCAGCAGUGGGGAAUUUUGGACAAUGGGGGCAACCCUGAUCCAGCCAUUCCGCGUGAGUGAAGAAGGCCUUCGGGUUGUAAAGCUCUUUCGCAAGGGAAGAAAACUUAGGCUCUAACAUAGCUUGAGGCUGACGGUACCUUGAUAAGAAGCACCGGCUAACUACGUGCCAGCCGCCGCAGUAAGAC
rnacentral:rRNA from 1 species